rnacentral:rRNA from 1 species
GACGAACGCUGGCGGCGUGCUUAACACAUGCAAGUCGAACGGUAAGGCCCUUCGGGGUACACGAGUGGCGAACGGGUGAGUAACACGUGGGUGAUCUGCCCUGCACUUCGGGAUAAGCCUGGGAAACUGGGUCUAAUACCGGAUAGGACCACUGCCUGCAUGGGUGGGGGUGGAAAGCUUUUGCGGUGUGGGAUGGGCCCGCGGCCUAUCAGCUUGUUGGUGGGGUGAUGGCCUACCAAGGCGACGACGGGUAGCCGGCCUGAGAGGGUGACCGGCCACACUGGGACUGAGAUACGGCCCAGACUCCUACGGGAUGAAGCAGUGGGGAAUAUUGCACAAUGGGCGCAAGCCUGAUGCAGCGACGCCGCGUGAGGGAUGACGGCCUUCGGGUUGUAAACCUCUUUCAGCACCGACGAAGCGCAAGUGACGGUAGGUGCAGAAGAAGGACCGGCCAACUACGUGCCAGCCGCCGCCGUAA